AUUCACACACGACAUACACUCCAUAAACUCCCUUCUCUCCCCCUGGCACCAAGACUCAUUUCAACACUCAAAGAUCACAUACCGCCCAGCAAGAAAAGCCACACCAGCCACCACUCACCAACAACCAAACAGCUGAUUAUCAAGGGUAUCAACACUGACAUAAACACAGAAGAAAUAAAAGAAGAACUGGAAAAACGAGGCAUCUCCACAACUAAAGCACACUGCAUCAUCAGCAGAGCCACUCAACAGCCUUGGUGGCAUUCAAAGAUGUAACCAAGUAAGACGUUCAUAUGCAGGAGAUAUGAGCUAAGAAGCUAAGAACUUGUGAAGAGGAGCAAACUAACACACAAGGCUUGAAUCAACAGGAGCCAGCCAGACAGACAGGCAGGUAUACAAGCAGAGCUGAGACCAGAUCAGUAAACCCUGCCUGCCCACCAAUGCUACUUUACCAAAUUAAUUACGCACAGAGAGAAUGUAUUGAUGCCUCCAGAGAAGAUGGAUCAGGAAAGAAGCUGAUGACCACAUGUGCGACAGAUGUAACUCCUGCUGAAGGCUCUCGUCCUGCUGUUAUGUCAGAGAGAAAGAUGGAUGAAGCCACCAGUCCACAGAUCUCUCAUCAACAGCGAUGUAAAGCUACCCAGAAAAUAACACCCUGGCAGCAGACAGAGGUAUAGGCGGUGGGGAAUCACAUGAAUCCGUUCAUCCGUUCUUGUGUUGUACCAGCAAAGAGUGACUGUGAGAAAUGUUUAAGGGCUGAACCAGAAGCUCUCAAGAACCGUGACUGGCAGAACUUGAAAUUUUAUAUUUACAAUCGCAUUACGGCCUACAAAAGGAAAAGUGCAAUGUACUGAAAAUAAUAUGGAGAUUACCAAUGAACAGGCUGGGACUGUAGUUUACGUUUACGUUCAGUGUUACAUGCAUGUCAUACAGUCAACUUACUUGAAUUCGACUUGACAUGUAUUCCAUCACAGUGAGCCUUUUGUUGUCUCAAAAUAAUUGCUUGGUGGUAUUUUUUAUAUAUAUAUAUAUAAUCAGCCUGAGACAGAGAGCUAAAUAAACUACAGUGAUCAGACUGUAAUACUACUGCCUGAAUUAAUAAAAAAAAAAAAAAUCAGCUAUAGCGAUUAUUCUUCUUUUAUCAGGUACAGUACAAAACAUCAUAAAAAAAACAAAUCCUUCUAUAAACAGAAAACAAAAUCCUGAGGUUAAAGCUAUCGCUCAAUCUGCAACAACACAACAGGCUUUGGUGCUAGCAACCACAAGAAUUAAGAGCUAUAUCACGCCCUUCCACGUGUGUGUGUGUGUGUGUGUGUGUGUGUGUGUGUGUGUGUAUAUAUAUAUAUAUACAUAUAUAUAUAUAUAUAUACACGCGUGGAAGGGCGUGAUGUUGUGUUUUUUUUAUGAUGUUUUGUACUGUACCCGAUAACAGAAGAAUAAUCGCUAUAGCUGAUUUAUUUUUGUAUAAAUUCAGGCAGUAGUAUUACAGUCUGAUCAUUGCUUUAGCUCUCUGUCUCAGGCUGAAUGUAGGUGGAAGGUUGCCUGAUGGGGUAACCCUUUUGUCAUGACUUUGGGACAUUGUUCAUUCCGGCAGAUAUUACUUAUGUAAUCAAGGAAGUGUGUUUCUCUCUUGGGAUGUCCAAAGAAAAGUAUUUUCAGGUGUCCAUACCUCUGUAGUCAUAGGCACUGUAAUAGUUGACUGUAACUGAUGUUCAUUUAGAACUUGGAUGCUUCAGAGUCAGAUUCUGAGUUAAUUUGGACCUUAACAUUAUGCUUUUGUGACAAGGUUUUUUUUUUAUGAAUCAUUUUGCUCCCUGUGAAAGAAUAGGCCCUUGUGGAUCUAAAUGGGAAAGGCACUUUAAUCAACAUGUUAUGUUAAAAUGAUUAAAUCAAGUUCUCUCUCUAAAGGUUUUGCAUUGUUUACAUUCAAUGUUUACUCCAGCUUGCUGUCAGAAGUGAAAUGUUUGAGAGAGAGAGAGAGACUGGGUAAGUCUCAAGGGAUUAAAUCAUAAAGCAAUUCAACUGUGUUACCUGGAUUCAUUAAAAAGUUCCAUUGUGCAAUUUAAAUGAGUUCGAUUUAUCUUAGUUUAACUAAUUAAAUUAAUAUUUACUAGGAACUAAAUGUAACUCUUCGUGUUAUGACAAACCUGUGAGAUGAUUACUAGUUCUAUUAGGGUGGUGCUAAGCUUUAGGUGACUGACAGUGGUUGCUGGGUGGUUGACUGUGGUUAGAUAUAAGGAAACAAAAAUAGCUGUCUGAGAUGUAAAGAAAGAAUAGCUCUUAUGGUGGAAAGUAAAAGGUUUAAAGAUUUGACUUUUUGUGUGGUAGAUAUGGGUUGGACAACAAUUUCUGGUUCUAUGUUCCACACCAGUGGCGACAUGUGUUAUGGUGGUCAGGAAAUCAUGGCUCAAGAGGCAGGAGAAGGGGUCAGAGGUCAAAAUGGCCUCAUGGUACAAUUACAUAAUCUAUGAACAACUAAGCCUUUCCCAAAUUUUAAUUGUAAUUGAUGUACUGCUGUAUCUUAUAAUUUAACUUAAUUGUUCACUCAACUUUUUUUUUUUAUAACUGCAAUAUAAUCAGAGGGUUGACUUGAUAUAGAUGUACUGUAUAUAGUUGGUUGUGUUAAUGUGAAAGUUAAUAUAAAAAAUAGGUCCCCAGUAGUCAUAUGGGUAUCCCUGUGAAUUAUGCAAAUGUAUGCUAAUAAGGUCCCCUUGAGUCCCCUUGAGACCCAUUUAACAUGGUGACACCAUUACAUCAUCAAUUCAAAGAUUUGAAGGCGUGUAUAGGCUAACUAAGCAAUGCUAAGUUUACCUGAUUUUUUUCAUACCUCUAGGACCUCUAGAAAGGGUGGUCCCC